CACUGAGACGUGGAGCAACUGACUGAGUAGUCACUGCCCCACCCCUGCCUGGAGCCUCACACAUGACUUCUCUUAGUGACCACAGGUUGGUUGAGGGGUUUAACAAGGCUAAGAAGGAAAACAAGCUCAGGGCUCCCACUGAUUGUACAUUAUGGUGAGACGUGGUCUUGUAACACAGUGGUUAAGAAUGUGACUUUGGAGCCAGCCUGCUAGGGGCUGAAUUCUGACUCAGCCAUUUAUUAACUGUGUGACCUUAGGGAGGAGGACCUGGUUGAUAGAAGAAUUUAUCUCAUAGUCUUAACAUCCACUGUAAUUCCGAACUUUGAGGACGAUAGAGAUCAGUGGGCUUUGACUGCCCAGCAUGCAGUCUCCAUUCUUAGGUAGGUUCCCAAGCCUGUAAAAUGUAAGUCUUAUGUUGCUGAGGGCCAUCUUGCCACCCCGAGGGGAACGCUGCCUGAGAAUGAAACCAGCAUAAGUAAAAGCUGAGCUGUGAGAUGGAGUGAGAUGAAGGCCACAUGACAUCUUUGGAGCACCUGGAUCUAACUGUGCCUUAAGCUAGUCUAACCCUGAACAUUUCAUUGACAUGGGCCCAGGUUUUCCCUUUUUUUUUUUUUUUUUUUUGGAUGGAGUCUCACUCUGUCGCCCAGGCUGGAGUGCAGUGGUGCAAUCUCGGCUCACUGCAAGCUCCGCCUCCCGGGUUCACGCCAUUCUCCUGCCUUAGCCUCCCAAGUAGCUGGG
rnacentral:antisense_RNA from 1 species